rnacentral:rRNA from 1 species
UGGGUAACCUGCCUCAAAGAGGGGAAUAGCCUCCCGAAAGGGAGAUUAAUACCGCAUAAUAUGUUUAAGUCGCAUGACUUUAACAUCAAAGGAUUUUCUUUUAGAACUUCCACUUUGAGAUGGACCCGCGGCGCAUUAGCUAGUUGGUGAGGUAACGGCUCACCAAGGCAACGAUGCGUAGCCGACCUGAGAGGGUGAUCCGGCCACAGUUGGAACUGAGACACGGUCCAGACCUCCGUAGGNG